rnacentral:rRNA from 1 species
AACUAACAAGGAUUCCCCUAGUAGCGGCGAGCGAAGCGGGAAGAGCUCAAAUUUAUAAUCUGGCACCUUCGGUGUCCGAGUUGUAAUCUCUAGAAAUGUUUUCCGCGUUGGACCGCACACAAGUCUGUUGGAAUACAGCGGCAUAGUGGUGAGACCCCCGUAUAUGGUGCGGACGCCCAGCGCUUUGUGAUACAUUUUCGAAGAGUCGAGUUGUUUGGGAAUGCAGCUCAAAUUGGGUGGUAAAUUCCAUCUAAAGCUAAAUAUUGGCGAGAGACCGAUAGCGAACAAGUACCGUGAGGGAAAGAUGAAAAGCACUUUGGAAAGAGAGUUAACAGUACGUGAAAUUGUUGGAAGGGAAACGCUUGAAGUCAGACUUGCUUGCCGAGCAAUCGGUUUGCAGGCCAGCAUCAGUUUUCCGGGAUGGAUAAUGGUAGAGAGAAGGUAGCAGUUUCGGCUGUGUUAUAGCUCUCUGCUGGAUACAUCUUGGGGGACUGAGGAACGCAGUGUGCCUUUGGCGGGGGUUUCGACCUCUUCACACUUAGGAUGCUGGUGGAAUGGCUUUAAACGACCCGUCUUGAAACACGGACCAAGGAGUCUAACAUGCUUGCGAGUAUUUGGGUGUCAAACCCGGAUGCGUAAUGAAAGUGAAUGGAGGUGGGAACCGCAAGGUGCACCAUCGACCGAUCUGGAUUUU